rnacentral:rRNA from 1 species
AACGAACGCUGGCGGCAUGCCCAACACAUGCAAGUCGAACGAGAUCUUCGGGUCUAGUGGCGCACGGGUGCGUAACGCGUGGGAAUCUGCCCUUUGGUUCGGAAUAACAGUUGGAAACGACUGCUAAUACCGGAUGAUGACGAAAGUCCAAAGAUUUAUCGCCAGAGGAUGAGCCCGCGUAGGAUUAGCUAGUUGGUGUGGUAAAGGCGCACCAAGGCGACGAUCCUCAGCUGGUCUGAGAGGAUGAUCAGCCACACUGGGACUGAGACACGGCCCAGACUCCUACGGGAGGCAGCAGUGGGGAAUAUUGGACAAUGGGCGAAAGCCUGAUCCAGCAAUGCCGCGUGAGUGAUGAAGGCCUUAGGGUUGUAAAGCUCUUUUACCCGGGAUGAUAAUGACAGUACCGGGAGAAUAAGCUGCGGCUAACUCCGUGCCAGCAGCCGCGGUAA